GAUGAACGCUGGCGGCGUGCCUAAUACAUGCAAGUCGAGCGAACAGAUGAGGAGCUUGCUCCUCUGACGUUAGCGGCGGACGGGUGAGUAACACGUGGAUAACCUACCUAUAAGACUGGGAUAACUUCGGGAAACCGGAGCUAAUACCGGAUAAUAUAUUGAACCGCAUGGUUCAAUAGUGAAAGACGGUUUUGCUGUCACUUAUAGAUGGAUCCGCGCCGCAUUAGCUAGUUGGUAUGGUAACGGCUUACCAAGGCAACGAUGCGUAGCCGACCUGAGAGGGUGAUCGGCCACACUGGAACUGAGACACGGUCCAGACUCCUACGGGAGGCAGCAGUAGGGAAUCUUCCGCAAUGGGCGAAAGCCUGACGGAGCAACGCCGCGUGAGCGAUGAAGGUCUUCGGAUCGUAAAACUCUGUUAUUAGGGAAGAACAAAUGUGUAAGUAACUAUGCACGUCUUGACGGUACCUAAUCAGAAAGCCACGGCUAACUACGUG
rnacentral:rRNA from 1 species